rnacentral:misc_RNA from 1 species
GAUGAAGAACGUAGUGAAAUGCUAUAAGUAAUGUGAAUUGCAGAAUUCAGUGAAUCAUCGAAUCUUUGAACGCACAUUGCGCCCAUUAGUAUUCUAGUGGGCAUGCCUGUUCGAGCGUCAUUAAGUCCACUUAAGCCCUGCUUAGUGUUGGGAGACUGCUCCAGCGGUGCUACCCUGUAGCUACCCUGCAGCUCCUCAAAGACAGCGGCGGAGUUGUGGUAUCCUCUGAGCUUAGUAACUUGUUCUAGCUUUCGAGUACACCACUUCCCCUGCCGUAAAACCCUUAAUUUUUAAUGGUUGACCUCGGAUCAGGUAGGAAUACCCGCUGAACUUAAGCAUAUCAAUAAGCGGAGGA